GAUGAACGCUGGCGGCGUGCCUAAUACAUGCAAGUCGAGCGAACAGACGAGGAGCUUGCUCCUCUGACGUUAGCGGCGGACGGGUGAGUAACACGUGGAUAACCUACCUAUAAGACUGGGAUAACUUCGGGAAACCGGAGCUAAUACCGGAUAAUAUAUUGAACCGCAUGGUUCAAUAGUGAAAGACGGUUUUGCUGUCACUAUAAGUUGGACCCGCGCCGCAUUAGCUAGUUGGUAAGGUAACGGCUUACCAAGGCAACGAUGCGUAGCCGACCUGAGAGGGUGAUCGGCCACACUGGAACUGAGACACGGUCCAGACUCCUACGGGAGGCAGCAGUAGGGAAUCUUCCGCAAUGGGCGAAAGCCUGACGGAGCAACGCCGCGUGAGUGAUGAAGGUCUUCGGAUCGUAAAACUCUGUUAUUAGGGAAGAACAAAUGUGUAAGUAACUAUGCACGUCUUGACGGUACCUAAUCAGAAAGCCACGGCUAACUACGUG
rnacentral:rRNA from 1 species